GUGUGCGUAAUUUAAAAAAAAUAUCAAACUGUGACCUUGACAAUAGAAACUAGUCUCACACAC
rnacentral:tRNA from 1 species